ACUAUUUUGGCAGAUAAGUGCGGUGGAUUUAGAAUCUAUUUAUGUGUAAAUGUUUUACGUAUGUAGUA
rnacentral:tRNA from 1 species